rnacentral:misc_RNA from 1 species
UUUCCGUAGGUGAACCUGCGGAAGGAUCAUUAAUGAAAUGAAUGUCGAAAAGGGUUUUAGCUGGCCUCUUGAGGCAUGUGCACACCUUGAUCGCACAUCCACAUCUCACACCUGUGCACAACCUGUAGCUUGGGAUGAUUACAAUGCUGGGAACAGUGAUGAAAGCCCUUGCUAUGAAAUUUCACACACACAUAUUAAAAGUUAUAGAAUGUUAAAUAGCGUGUAACAGCGCAAAUAAAUAUACAACUUUCAGCAACGGAUCUCUUGGCUCUC